rnacentral:rRNA from 1 species
CCUACGGGCGGCAGCAGUGGGGAAUAUUGCACAAUGGGGGAAACCCUGAUGCAGCAACGCCGCGUGAGUGAAGAAGUAUUUCGGUAUGUAAAGCUCUAUCAGCAGGGAAGAAGAUGACGGUACCUGAAUAAGAAGCCCCGGCUAACUACGUGCCAGCAGCCGCGGUAAUACGUAGGGGGCAAGCGUUAUCCGGAUUUACUGGGUGUAAAGGGAGCGCAGACGGCAGUGCAAGUCUGGAGUGAAAGCCCGGGGCUCAACCCCCGGACUGCUCUGGAAACUGUACGGCUGGAGUGCAGGAGAGGUAAGUGGAAUUCCUAGUGUAGCGGUGAAAUGCGUAGAUAUUAGGAGGAACACCAGUGGCGAAGGCGGCUUACUGGACUGUAACUGACGUUGAGGCUCGAAAGCGUGGGGAGCAAACAGGAUUAGAUACCCCAGUAGUC